ACGUAGGGAGCAAGCGCUGUUCGGAUUUACUGGGCGUAAAGGGCGCGUAGGCGGCGCGGUAAGUCACUUGUGAAAUCUCUGAGCUUAACUCAGAACGGCCAAGUGAUACUGCAGUGCUAGAGUGCAGAAGGGGCAAUCGGAAUUCUUGGUGUAGCGGUGAAAUGCGUAGAUAUCGAGGGGAACACCUGCGGCGAAGGCGGGUUGCUGGGCUGACACUGACGCUGAGGCGCGAAAGCUAGGGGAGCGAACGGGA
rnacentral:rRNA from 1 species